rnacentral:rRNA from 1 species
AAAAGCUUGAUCUCGGUGUGAUCUCAGAAGCUAAGCAGGGUCGGGCCUGGUUAGUACUUGGAUGGGAGACCGCCUGGGAAUACCAGGUGCUGUAAGCUUUUU